CAGGUGGUCCUGGACAAAGGACUCGGCCCUUCUGGACCUGACAGAUUGCUGGCCUGGACGACGGAGCAAGGAGGCCACAGAACAGGAUUGAAGCCAGCUUACAGAAGCCAAGAACAAUCCCCAGCCCAGAGCCAGCAAGGAAAUGGGGACCUCAAUCCUACAGCCGCCUGGCACUGGAUUCUGCCGACCUGAAUGAGCCUCCAUAAAGGAAACAGCCCUGCCGCACCUUCAGCUCAGCCCCUGAAACCCAGGGCCAAGACCCACCUGGCUAUGCCACGCUGUGCCUGGCUUCUCACCUCGGAACGUGAGAUAAUGGCCAAGACUUCUCCAUCCUCCUCAAACAAACCUCGGCUACACACACACAUGCACACCCCACGUGUGCCCCACACAGGAACCCUCAGCUCCUACAUCGCAGAGAUGAUGGCCACUAGGAGGAAACACCUGAAAUGUUCCUCCGCUCCAUCCUCGCGCUCACUUACAACGAUUCUCAUCCUGUCACUCCAUGAAAGCUAACCCUGCACCUGUGCUCAGGUGUCAAAAUCAAAGCGGAAAUUUGGACACGCAGACACCAGGGACGAAAGACCAUGUGAGGGACACAGCGAGAAGAUGGUCUUCUGCAAACAAGGAGACGGG